rnacentral:ncRNA from 1 species
UGUUCAGAGCAAAUGCUUGGCAGAUAAAUUUUUUCAAAGUGUUUCUGAGAAAGGAGGAUCAUGACAUUACCUUAAAAUAAUUGGCACUAGGUGUCCUGAUCAGCCUGCCUUAAUUGAUUCUAGCAAGUUCCUGAUUGUUCUGGAUUAGUCCUUUUUACCUUACCCAGGGAAAGCAGACAUAUUUAAUCUGAGGCUAACAUAUCUGCCUUUGAAUACUCUCCCAUGGUUGAGACGAUGUAUUUGAAUAUCUGCCCCAUCAACUCUCGACGGUAAUCCUACGCUUACCAUGGUGACCACAGGUGAUGGAGAAUCAGGGUUUGAUUCCGGAAAGGAAGCCUGAGAAAUGGCUACCACAUCCAAGGAAGGCAGCAGGCACACAAAUUACCCACUCCCAAACCUGGGGAGGUAGUGACAAAAAAUAUCAAUACAGGACUCUUUCAAGGCCCUGUAAUUGGAAAGAGUACACUUUUGGCAGGGCCUCUUGCCAUCAACAAUGGGUGGGGAAGCCCUGGUGGGCCAGUCUCUAU